rnacentral:rRNA from 1 species
CCUACGGGGGGCUGCAGUGAGGAAUAUUGGUCAAUGGGCGCGAGCCUGAACCAGCCAAGUAGCGUGAAGGAUGACUGCCCUACGGGUUGUAAACUUCUUUUAUAAAGGAAUAAAGUGAGGCACGUGUGCCUUUUUGUAUGUACUUUAUGAAUAAGGAUCGGCUAACUCCGUGCCAGCAGCCGCGGUAAUACGGAGGAGCCGAGCGUUAACCGGAUUUAUUGGGUUUAAAGGGAGCGUAGAUGGGUUGGUAAGUCCGUUGUGAAAGUUUGCGGCUCAACCGUAAAAUUGCAAUUGAUACUGGCAGGCUUGAGUACAGUAGAGGUAGGCGGAAUUCGUGGUGUAGCGGUGAAAUGCUUAGAUAUCACGAAGAACUCCGAUUGCGAAGGCAGCUUACUAAACUGCCACUGACAUUGAUGCUCGAAAGUGUGGGUAUCAAACAGGAUUAGAUACCCCAGUAGUC